CUACAUAAACAGAAUCACUCAUUUUGACGUCAGGUGGUAACCAACAUCGUUGUAUUAGAGAGAGGGAUAGAGAAAGAGAGCUUAAGAUUAACUGUUUGUGGAAUUGGGUCGGUGAAGAAGAAGAAGAAGAUGAAGUUCUGCAAGAAAUAUGAGGAGUACAUGCAAGGGCAAGAUCAGAAGAAACUUCCACGUGUAGGAUUCAAGAAACUGAAGAAGAUCUUGAAGAAAUGUAGAAUAGAUCUUCAAACCCACAACAAUAAGAUGGUCCUACACCACCAUGAUGACUCUGCCAAUUGCCCCCACCAUUGCCCGGUUUGCGAUGGAACCUUUUUCCCGUCCUUGCUCAAGGAAAUGUCUGCAGUAGUUGGUUGCUUUAAUGAGCGGGUACAGAAAUUGCUCGCGCAGCAUAUGGCUUCAGGGUUCCGUAAGUGCUUCAUUUGGUUCAAAGACAAGCUACAGGGUAACCAUGUUGCCUUAACUCAAGAAGGCAAAGAUCUGGUUAUGUAUGCAAUAAUCAACGCCAUUGCAAUGCGCAAAAUACUAAAGAAGUAUGACAAGAUUCACUACUCUAACCAAGGACAAGCAUUCAAAUCGCAAGCCCAAAGUAUGCACAUUGAGAUCCUUCAGUCACCAUGGCUAUGCGAGCUGAUGGCUUUCCACAUAAACUUGAGGGAAACAAAGGACCAUAAAAGGAAGGCUUCCGUGUUUUUUGAGGGCUGCUCUCUUGUAAUUAAUGAUGACAAACCAUCACUCUCUUGCGAACUCUUUGAUUCCAUCAAGCUUGAUAUUGACUUGACUUGUUCUAUAUGCUUGGAUACUGUAUUUGAUCCAGUAGCUCUGACCUGUGGUCAUAUCUUCUGCUAUAUAUGUGCUUGCAAGGCUGCAUCAGUAACCAUCGUGGAUGGAUUAGAUACUGCAGAUCCCAAAGGAAAGUGCCCUCUCUGCCGAAAUGAUGGAGUGUUUGAAGGUGCUGUACACAUGGAUGAGCUUAAUAUCUUGUUAAGUCGAUGUUGUCAUAAAUAUUGGGAGGAGCGGCUUCAAAUCGAGAGAGUGGAGAGAAUUCAGCAGGCUAAGGAGCACUGGCAGGCCCAGUGCCAGGCAUUUAUGGGUGUCUAAAGCGGCUGUUUCUUCUUUUUAUUGGUGCUAGUAGUAUUAACUACUUGUGUUAACAAACAUCUUCUGAUGUUCGUGUCUUGAAUUUGCCUUGAGCUAUCAAUUAGUUUUUGUGUCUUCUGUGUUGAUAUGUAGGGAUUUCAACAAGUCUUGUAUAUGCCAUCUUUAGCCGAAAUGGAUUCUGUGGUGAAGCACUUUCUACAGAAAUUUUUUGAAGAUAUGGGUAUUCUCCCACUUGUAUUUCAUUUCACUAUUAUUGUUGAACGAGGUGCCUAGUAAAACAUCAUGAUUUCCAUACAAAAA